AAGAGGGAGAAAGAGAAGGAGGAAGAGAGAAGAGGGAGACGUGGGGAAAAAAAUUCUUAAUUCUUCAUUAAUCCUAAUCAUCAUAGAAGUCCUCUAUAAAUAGGGCCCAAAUAAGAAUAAUUAAAAUAAAACCCCCUUAUACAAAAUAAUUUCCAAUAAGCCCAAAAUACACAAAUAAAGUCCUACAAUAAUAAAAUUGCAAACAAACCCAGAAAUAAAAGGCAAAUAAAAUAGGGGACUAAACAGAAGGAUGAUCAGCUCUGAUGUC
rnacentral:lncRNA from 1 species